UACGUAGGGGGCAAGCGUUGUCCGGAAUUAUUGGGCGUAAAGAGCUCGUAGGCGGUCUGUUGCGUCGGCUGUGAAAACCCGGGGCUCAACCCCGGGCCUGCAGCCGAUACGGGCAGACUAGAGUUCGGCAGGGGAGACUGGAAUUCCUGGUGUAGCGGUGAAAUGCGCAGAUAUCAGGAGGAACACCGGUGGCGAAGGCGGGUCUCUGGCCGAUACUGACGCUGAGGAGCGAAAGCGUGGGAGCGAACAGG
rnacentral:rRNA from 1 species